CAAGAAAUUUAGUUGACAAUAAUGCCCACUGCCCUUUCUCCUAUUCAUACUUGAGAAUCUUCAAACCCUCACGAUUAUUCUCCAUGGCAGCUCCAACCCCCAUGGAUUCUCUUGAAAACCAGUUGCAAAGCGGCCCCAAAGCUCUGCAAAAUUACCCAGUUCCACUGUCCCCACCAUUGCCAUCCAUAUCCAAGAAUAUAGAGUUGAAUAGGGCCUUGUCAGCUUCUUCAAAAUCAUCAAUUUUUUCUCUUAACAGAAAUGAUGUUCUUUUUGAAGAUGAGUGGCUUAUUGCUAUCAAUAAGCCUCAGGGAAUUUACUGUGAGAGUAUCCUAUCCGCUGUUCCUACUCUACUUAAGAAUGAUUCUAUUGACUCGGGAGAUCAAGUAAACUUGCCAGAACUCCAUCUGGCUAAUAGGCUUGAUCGUGAUACAAGUGGUGUUACAAUUAUCACCAAGUCACACAGAAUGGCUGCCAAGCUAGUAAAGGCUUUUACUAAACACGAGGUUAGGAAAACCUACAUUGCACGCUGCAUUGGUCCAGCUCCAGAAUGGGAAAAUAUCACUGUUAGAUCUGGUCAUGGUCGGUCAAAAUAUGGAGCCUGGCGUGUUUAUGCUGCAUCCGACGUUGGCCGGAAACUACCUGGUGGAUCAAUGGUUAGAGAUAUGGAAACUUUGUUUGAAGUUAUCUUGAUAAACGGGCAAGAUCGGUUGAAAAAAUUUUCAAGACCAGAAGAACAUGAAAAAAGAGUUACUGUUGUUGAAGAGAAAUCUGUAGUUGAUUGUGAUGCGGAGAAAGACGAGAUUCUGUUAAGAGCGUAUCCUAGGAGUGGAAGAACACAUCAAAUUCGUUUGCAUUGCCAGUAUCUUGGAAUUCCUAUAAGAGGCGAUGUGAAGUAUGAGGGUGUAUAUGAAUGGAAUGGUAGAACAUAUGACGGCCAUGAACUUCAUGCAGAAAGCUUGUCUUUCAUGCAUCCUGUUACAGCUCAGCCAGUUUUGAUUCAAGCCCCUUUGCCUUCGUGGGCAGCCCAAGAACUGGGUCCAGGAUUGUUAUGAAUGAGUAGUUGUACCGUUCGAGAAUGAAAAUUAUAAAGCUUUGCUGUUUGAUCAACAAUGUAGUUAGAAAUCAACUUCUUGACAUUUGGUGGAAGCAAGUGUGCAUCUUGCGAUUGAGAGUUGGAACAGGAAGCAAGAACCUUUCCUUUACACAGAGGAAAGUGAAAGUUUCUUAUAAUCGAAAUGAUUGCAAUGUGAAGCUGCAGUUUUCUUCAUACAGUAGUUCAUAUCGGUUGGUCGAGUUCUGAAACCAACCAUCAUGUGCCCUCAGGGCCGGAAAAAUAUAAAGAGUGACGAGGUUGAAGAUCCGUGAUGCACGACUUUUUAUUCAACGAACACUUCCACCAAGGCAUUGGCUUAAUUUUCUCAACCAAAAUGUGGUCAAGUUGGAAAUACAGAAGCUCCCAGUAUUCAAGUGUCAUUUUUUGGUGAAAACCUUGUGUAACUAUGAUGUACAGUGCGAAUUCAUUUUUACCCAGAAAGUUUGCAGCCCCAUUUCGAAGCACUUGGCAAAGCUAUGCUAAGCUCUUAAAAUCAAAUA